rnacentral:tRNA from 1 species
AGUCUUAUAGUCAAAAAAUGAUUUUAAAUUGCAAAUUUAAAGUUGGGUAAGCCCUAAGGCUU